rnacentral:rRNA from 1 species
CCUGAUCCAGCAAUGCCGCGUGUGUGAAGAAGGCCUUCGGGUUGUAAAGCACUUUUGUCCGGAAAGAAAUCCUCUGGGUUAAUACCUCGGGGGGAUGACGGUACCGGAAGAAUAAGCACCGGCUAACUACGUGCCAGCAGCCGCGGUAAUACGUAGGGUGCGAGCGUUAAUCGGAAUUACUGGGCGUAAAGCGUGCGCAGGCGGUUUUGUAAGACGGAUGUGAAAUCCCCGGGCUCAACCUGGGAACUGCAUUCGUGACUGCAAGGCUAGAGUAUGGCAGAGGGGGGUAGAAUUCCACGUGUAGCAGUGAAAUGCGUAGAGAUGUGGAGGAAUACCGAUGGCGAAGGCAGCCCCCUGGGCCAAUACUGACGCUCAUGCACGAAAGCGUGGGGAGCAAACAGGAUUAGAUACCCUGGUAGUCCACGCCCUAAACGAUGUCAACUAGUUGUUGGGGAUUCAUUUCCUUAGUAACGUAGCUAACGCGUGAAGUUGACCGCCUGGGGAGUACGGUCGCAAGAUUAAAACUCAAAGGAAUUGACGGGGACCCGCACAAGCGGUGGAUGAUGUGGAUUAAUUCGAUGCAACGCGAAAAACCUUACCUACCCUUGACAUGUACGGAAGUCCGCUGAGA